UCUUAUGGAUGAGCAAAGAAAGUGGUUUCUUGAGAUGGAAUCUACUCCUGGUGAAGAUGCUGUGGA
rnacentral:pre_miRNA from 4 species